UGGGGAAUUUUGGACAAUGGGCGAAAGCCUGAUCCAGCAAUGCCGCGUGUGUGAAGAAGGCCUUCGGGUUGUAAAGCACUUUUGUCCGGAAAGAAAUCCUUGGCUCUAAUACAGUCGGGGGAUGACGGUACCGGAAGAAUAAGCACCGGCUAACUACGUGCCAGCAGCCGCGGUAAUACGUAGGGUGCAAGCGUUAAUCGGAAUUACUGGGCGUAAAGCGUGCGCAGGCGGUUUGCUAAGACCGAUGUGAAAUCCCCGGGCUCAACCUGGGAACUGCAUUGGUGACUGGCAGGCUAGAGUAUGGCAGAGGGGGGUAGAAUUCCACGUGUAGCAGUGAAAUGCGUAGAGAUGUGGAGGAAUACCGAUGGCGAAGGCAGCCCCCUGGGCCAAUACUGACGCUCAUGCACGAAAGCGCGGGGAGCAAACAGGAUUAGAUACCCUGGGUAGUCCACGCCCUAAACGAUGUCAACUAGUUGUUGGGGAUUCAUUUCCUUAGUAACGUAGCUAACGCGUGAAGUUGACCGCCUGGGGAGUACGGUCGCAAGAUUAAAACUCAAAUGAAUUGACGGGGU
rnacentral:rRNA from 1 species